CCCGGGCAGUCCCAGGCAGCCCCUGGUGCCCAGAGCCAGAAGAGGGAAGCUUCUGACUGCGGUCCAGGCUGCGGGUGCGCACAACGGGCAGCUGAGGCUCCCACAUCCCGAGCGGCUCAGGCUGCCCUUCGACAAGGGCCAAACCAGGAGAGAAAGGAGUUAACCUGCCUGAGAAUGGGGGAGAGGGGUUCUGGGGUGGAGAGGGUGGUCCAGCUGCUACUACAGGAGUCCCAGCCAGAAGCCCUGACUUGAGUAGAGGUGGGGCCCACGUCUCCCUUCCCCCAUCCUUGGCCAAAUUUCCCUGGAGACCCCCUUGUCUGCUUCCAGUUUAGAUCAGAGCAAUAGCCUCUGCCCUUGGAAGCCCCUGCCCACCCCCACUUCCAGCAGGACCUGUUUUGCUUCCCCAGGUCCAGAAGGGGAAGCUCCAGCUCUGUCCCCCAUCUCUGGAUAGCCACACAGAGCUCCCACCUCCUCCAGGGGCUUUGGGAGGGAAUUUAACCCCUUUGCCUCUCCAGGGAGAAAGGGGCUAAACCUUACUGGUCAAAGGGACCAGGAAGAACAAGAUGGGGGUCAGGGCUCCAGGCUGGAGUCAAGAGUCCCAAGGGUCUGGAACUGACUCCUAAUGUGGCCCAAGGGGAGCCAGCAGGGAGGUCCUCAGAUCAUGUGGGAAGAUGCUGAUGGAGGACACAAAUGGCCAGUGAGCUGGGCUGGACGAGAGACCCCUUUGCAGGCAGGUCACUCUAGAGCUAGCUGGUUGAAGGCAUUUGGUGUUUCUGUCGGAGAACGUAGGGCACCUGCCACUCUGACGGUGUUGGGCCCAUGCUCAGGGUAUGCACUUAACCCCUCCCAGGCAUUAGUGGCCACAGAUACAGGCUCUCUGUGGCUGGGCCCUCAUUCCCUCCCCCACUGGCCUCUGCCCUCUGUGCCGUGCAGGUCAUGGGCUGGUGGGAAGAUACCCACAGCAGUGCUGGGAGACCAGUAUCUUGGUUUUGUGAGCAGGUACAGGGUGCUGGGGGGGCCUGCUCAGCCUGAGGGGUCUGCAAAGGCUCCCCUGAGGCAGAGCCACUUGCGCCCUGGGUUAGAAGAGAAACUGAGGUAGGGUGGGUAGUAUAUGCGAGAGGGUUGAGGGUGACAGGUCCUGGGGUAGAUGUAGGAGGAGGCAAGGUGGCUAGCUGGGGGUGGCCUGGUGUGAGGCAGCUGCCGCCCCGCCCCAGUCCCUCCCACGCCCAAGCCCUCGCCUGCCCCUCCUGUAGUGGGCAGCCACGUGGAGACCCGGGCACACGCGGAGGAGCGGCUCCUGAAGAGACUCUUCUCCGGCUACAACAAGUGGUCUCGGCCGGUGGCCAACAUCUCAGAUGUGGUCCUCGUGCGCUUCGGCCUGUCCAUUGCACAGCUCAUCGACGUGGUAGGUGGGCUGUAGCUGUCAUGGGCACUGAGGUCACCUGAAGGGAGCAUGGUGUCUGGGAAAAAGCCUUACAUGCUAGCAACGGGGGAUAGGCACCACCAGCUCUGGCCGCUGGGCCCAGCAAAAGGAUGACUCUGUGUAUUAGCUCAGGCCCUGCCCCCCAAUAGAGGAUAACUCAAAAGUGGCUGGAUUUUCAGCAGUGAGGCAGGGCACCUUCAGAAGCAAAGAAUAGAAGACACCUGCAUGGCAGGGGUGGGGGACAGUGACCUGGCUGGUCAGCACCAGGGCUUGGGGUCUUUUGCAAGGCAGAGCAGGCAGGCUUCACUCCUAAGCUUGGGCUGGUCUCAGAGGCCUCUCAUCCAUGGCUGUGGAAUUUGGGGUCUCGCCACAUUUUGGGCAGGUUCUGCUUGACCUGUGUGUUUACCUUCCUGGCAAGGGGCCCAGGAGGCUGCUGGAAGGACUUGGGCAUCCGGCAAAGGCCCCUACAAUGUGAGCCAGUGUCUGAGCAGCCCCAGUGGGGGCUUCAGCUUCAAGGCCCAGAGAACCAAGCUCAGGGCCUCUGCACAAUGGAGGUGCUUCGUUACCUUCCUAGAGCCUGGACCAGCUGCCUGAAUCCUGCCCUCCACCCACAGCUGCAGGACAAAGUUCUGGCUGUCCCUGGGUUGCCUCGUGCAGGGCGGUGUCUCUGGAGGGCCCUGGGUGAAAGGCAGUGGUUCUGGGUCUGUGGUUCUUGGCCAGCCUCAGCCACUCCACGUAGGGCAGGACCAUCCUUCAGGGUAUUUGACCAGCGGUGCACGGUCUGGGGGGUGCCCUGCUCCCAAGUUUGGCAAUACCCAAUCCCCUGCCCAUUAGGUUUGGCCUCAGAGUGGAGGCUCCAGCCUGGCUGGGAGGCAGGGAGGGCAGCUGUGGCCUCUGGAGCUGGGUCUGCUUGCCAGUGGGUUUGGAAGAGCUCCACACUGUGACGCAUGUGCGUGGCCAGCUCAUUCCCUACUGUCCUGUCCAGGGAGGGGGCCCAAAUAUGGGGAGGGGGAUUUGUCUGCUGCAGGGGCUGCAGACAGCCCCAAAUGCCCAGCCCACCCCUGCCAGGACCUCAACCCUGGAGUCCAGGGAGUCCACCUCAACCUUGUAUCCAGGCUGGGGCCGUGCAUGCAGAUGGCCCUGAACUUACGUGGAGUUCUCCCUGUGAGAGGACAGACUGCCCGCAAGGUGGAACCAGCCUGCGCGGAACCGUGCAUGGAGACACGGUAGGUCCACCCUAUCCAGAGCUGGGCACCCGGCCCUCCAACCUCAGGUGUCUUGGAACUGGCCCUGGAUGGAACUGGCCCUGGUGCCCAGCCAGGAGACAAUGCAAGAUAUAUGGGCCUCAUCAACCCUGCUGAGGUUUGCAAACAUGGUGCAGAGUGGUGGCUGACGAAGGCAGCUGUUGGCAGCUGCUGAAGGCUCCAGGUCUGCUAUGCUGAUGCCCACGGCCUCUGAGCUCACUGGGACUGCCCUGGCUCCCAUGCCACUGUAGUCCCCCAGGUUGCCCUGGACACAGUGAGGCCUGAGAACAUCCAGUUCCAGACUCCAUGAGGACCCUGGCGUCACUCCCAGCCCUGAUCUCCACCCUAGAGCUGGCUAAGGACACACGUGAACGUGCACACUCGUGUGUGGACAGCUCUGGGUGCUGGCCUGAGGCCCACGGUCAUGCUUGAGGUGGAAGGGGCUGCCUUUUGUCUGUCCCAGUCUUCCCCCCACCUUGGUGUUGGCCCUCCUGUGCCCCUUCUGUGGGGCUCAUGUGCUCGUGGCCAGGAUGGAGCCCUCCUGUGCUGUGCAUGGGGUCACACCCCGAGUAGCUGCCAAGGAGCCUUCAGAAGUUCCCAGGUUUCCAACCCACAGGGGCUGAUGCUGAGUCCUCCUGAAACAUUCCAGGCAUCCUUCAUCAGACUUGUGCGGAUACGUGGGGACCUGUCCUCCAGGAAUGAGGUCUCAUAGAGACAAGGUCUUUCAAGUAGCACAGGACUAGGCUGAUGACCAAGUGCUCUGCUGUGUCCUCCCAGGGAGGGGCCUGGCUCUGGCAGCUGGGUGACCUUCCCAGGUGUCUCCGCUGGAAGGUGGGACUUAGGACAGGGGCCUCAGGAGCUUAUCCCCAGGGAACAGCAAGGGAGGUACCAAGGGCUGUGUCCAGGGAUGGAGUCCCCAGCCACCCUGGUCCUGUUUGAGGCUCCAAGAUGCUUUUCCCAUUUACCAUUGUGAUUUCUCUGGCUAGAGUAGCUUUUCUGAUCGAGCCUGUUUGUCUCUGGUUGGAGUGAAGAGAAAAUUAGGGCUAUGAGAGGGGGAAGCCACCUUGCCAGGAUGCUGCCCACCAUGUCCUGUCCAGACUCUCCCAGCAGAGAAAGAGCCCCCACCCCAUGGACACCCCAUGCUCUCUGCAGUGCCUGUGCUUGCCCCAGAUGUGGCAGGUGUGGCUGCUGCCCUCUGGAGGUCAGCAUCCAGCACCCACAGAAUGGGGGCUUCCUGUCCCCAAGGACCCUGUGGCCUGCAUGGAGCCUAUGUCAUGACCGCCUGCUCCUCAUCAGAGGAAAAUGAAGGAGACUAGUCAAGGAUGAGAAGAACCAGAUGAUGACCACGAACGUGUGGGUGAAGCAGGAGUGGCAUGACUAUAAGCUGCGCUGGGACCCCGCUGACUAUGAGAACGUCACAUCCAUCCGCAUCCCCUCGGAGUUCAUCUGGCGGCCAGACAUCGUCCUCUACAACAAUGCGGAUGGGGACUUUGCAGUCACCCACCUGACCAAGGCUCACCUGUUCCACGACGGCCGGGUGCAGUGGACACCCCCGGCCAUCUACAAGAGCUCCUGCAGCAUCGACGUCACCUUCUUCCCCUUCGACCAGCAGAACUGCACCAUGAAGUUCGGCUCUUGGACCUACGACAAGGCCAAGAUCGACCUGGUGAGCAUGCACAGCCGUGUGGACCAGCGGGACUUCUGGGAGAGUGGGGAGUGGGUCAUCGUGGACGCGGUGGGCACCUACAACACCAGGAAGUAUGAAUGCUGCGCUGAGAUCUACCCCGACAUCACCUACGCCUUUGUGAUCCGGCGGCUGCCACUGUUCUACACGGUGAACCUCAUCAUCCCCUGCCUGCUCAUCUCCUGCCUCACCGUGCUGGUCUUCUACCUGCCGUCCGACUGCGGCGAGAAGGUCACACUGUGCAUCUCCGUGCUGCUGUCCCUCACCGUCUUCCUGCUGCUCAUCACCGAGAUCAUCCCGUCCACCUCACUGGUCAUCCCGCUCAUCGGCGAGUACCUGCUCUUCACCAUGAUCUUUGUCACCCUGUCCAUCGUCAUCACCGUCUUUGUGCUCAACGUGCACCACCGCUCACCACGUACCCACACCAUGCCCGCCUGGGUGCGCAGGGUCUUCCUGGACAUUGUGCCACGCCUGCUUCUCAUGAAGCGGCCGUCCACAGUCAAGGACAACUGCCGGCGGCUCAUCGAGUCCAUGCACAAGAUGGCCAAUGCCCCACGCCUCUGGCCUGCGCCUGAGGGGGAGCCCCCUGUCCUGGGCAGCACCCACGGCCUGGGCCAGCCACCCUCCCCAACCUGCCACACCCCUGUGGACGAGCCUGCCUGCGAGUUGCCCUCCUUGCCCUCUGACCUCCAGGCUCCACAGCCCUCAGAGGCUGAGAAGAUCAGCCCUCCACCCCAACCCCGGCCCCACAGUGCACAGGCCCCAGGGCUCACCAAAGUCAGGUCCCUCAGCGUCCAGCAGGUGUCCAGCCCCGGGGAAGUGGCAGAGGGCAGUGGCCGGUGCCGGUCUCGAAGCAUCCAGUACUGCAUCCUCCGAGACGACACUGUGUCUCAGGCCGAUGGCCAAGCGGCCAGCUCCCCAGCCUCCCAGAAGGCCCAUUUGGCAGAGCUCCCACCCCAAGACAAGCCCUCUCCCUGCAAGUGCACAUGCAAGAAGAAGCCACCCACAGCAUCCCCAGAAGCCACGCUCAAAGCCCACUGUGUCAGGCCACCACCCCAGCCCCUGCCCCUAUCGCCAGCCCUGACGCGGGCGGUCGAGGGCGUCCAGUACAUUGCAGACCAUCUGAAGGCAGAAGACACAGAUUUUUCCGCCCAGGACGCCUGUGUGGUGUGUCCUGAAGGCAGCUCUGAUGGAACUUGGGGUGCAGUCCAUGUCCUUGCAGAACAGAAGUGCCCAUCACACAAGGCAGACGGAAGAGCGAGGGAUGCCACAUGGGCACCCAGCCUAUCAGCGAGGAGCUGGCACCCCAGGUUGUCCCCAGAGAUGCUUUUCUACUGCUGGGCAGCCAGGUGGUUGCACCAGCCACCCAGAGCCUCUGCCUGCAGGGGUCAUGGGGUAGCCUCUUGGGUCAUGCCCAGGUGGAGGCAGGAACGGGACCUGGAGCAGUGCCAGGAUCCACAUUGACCUUUCCAGAUGUGUGACUGUGGUCCUGUCCCUAAGUCUCGAUGUCCCUGCACAUGAACAAAACUGUCCAGCUGAAGGUGAAGGAGGACUGGAAGUAUGUGGCCAUGGUGAUUGACCGUAUCUUCCUCUGGAUGUUUGUCAUCGUCUGCCUGCUGGGGACUGCGGGCCUCUUCCUGCCACCCUGGCUGGCUGGCAUGAUCUAGGCACA